rnacentral:rRNA from 1 species
UAGGGAAUAUUGGACAAUGGGCGCAAGCCUGAUCCAGCCAUGCCGCGUGAGUGAUGAAGGCCUUAGGGUUGUAGAGCUCUUUUAUCCGGGACGAUAAUGACGGUACCGGAGGAAUAAGCCCCGGCUAACUUCGUGCCAGCAGCCGCGGUAAUACGAAGGGGGCUAGCGUUGCUCGGAAUCACUGGGCGUAAAGGGCGCGUAGGCGGCGUUUUAAGUCGGGGGUGAAAGCCUGUGGCUCAACCACAGAAUGGCCUUCGAUACUGGGACGCUUGAGUAUGGUAGAGGUUGGUGGAACUGCGAGUGUAGAGGUGAAAUUCGUAGAUAUUCGCAAGAACACCGGUGGCGAAGGCGGCCAACUGGACCAUUACUGACGCUGAGGCGCGAAAGCGUUGGGAGCAAACA